rnacentral:sRNA from 1 species
CUUAACAGUGGGGUUAAUUCAGACUCUAAAAUCUUUCAGCUCUAACACUCCAAGAAAGGCUGUGUUUGCGGGAAGCAUGCAGUUGCUGGCCGGAGUCAAGCUGUGCACAGGAAGGACCCUAACCAACCACCCGCACUAUGAAGACAGCAGCCUGAGAGAGCGAACCAGAGCGGUUUAUCAGAUAUAUGCCAAGAGGGCGCCAGAGGAAGUGCAUGCCCUCCUAAGGUCCUUCGGCACUGACUACGUAAUCCUGGAAGACAGCAUCUGCUACGAGCGGAGGCACCGCCGGGGCUGCCGACUCCGGGACCUGCUGGACAUUGCCAACGGCCACAUGAUGGAUGGCCCAGGAGAGAAUGAUCCUGAUUUGAAACCUGCAGACCACCCUCGCUUCUGUGAAGAGAUCAAAAGAAACCUGCCUCCCUACGUGGCCUACUUCACCAGAGUGUUCCAGAACAAAACCUUCCACGUUUACAAGCUGUCCAGAAACAAGUAGCACAGAUUUCUGCCCAGUGUCUAUUUUUGAUAUGGAGAAACUGCAUCAUGAUG